rnacentral:lncRNA from 1 species
GGACGGUACAUCUCAGCCGAGCUAUCCCAUCUUGGCAUCCAUCUGUGAGAGAGCAGCUCCCGUGGUGGAGAGACCAGCUGCCAUGGUCGCUGAGCCUGAGGAGUCUCCAGCCCUUGAGGUCCACUCUGCACCAGUCGAACCCCAGGAGAUGACACCCUCAAGGCCCUCCAUCCCAGUGGGAACACUGGAGCUCCCUGUUUCAGCCCCUGCUGUGUCUGACUCCCCUGCUAUGGCUGUCCAAGAGGUGCAGAUUAGUGUGACUGAUCGUCCUCUCGCAGUCAUCCUACACUCCCUCUCUGGUGCAACUUCACCAUCCGAGACAGCAGAGGAUGUGAUGCUGGUUCCUAUGGUAGUGUCCCCUCCUGAAUCAGUCAAAAAGGCGUCGAGAGAGUCCUCUGAUUUUCUGUGUCCUCUUCCUGCAGCAACAUUGGAGACUGAGUCUGUUAGUGUGAUUUGUCCCCCUCCUUCUCCAGUGACUGUGGAGAUCCAACCUUCCAUUCUGGCUUCUCCCCUUACUGCUGCAACCGUGGAGACAGAAUCCUCCAAUCGGAUUUGUCCUCCUUCUGUGGUCAGCGUGGAGACGGAAUUGGCCAAUAUGCUAUCUCCUUCUGCUGCAGAGACAGUGGAGGCCGACUCUUCUGUUGUGACCUGUCCCCAUACUGCAGUGACCGACGACUUUGUGGCCCCUGUUUCUGUGUGCCUCCCUGUUGUGGCACUAGAAGAGACCGGUGUCCCCAGUGUGCAGCUCCCAGCUCCUGCGCCUGCCUUGACAGAGGAAACUCUGUGCCAGUCUGCUUCACCAUGCCUACCCACCGUCACGGCCGCAGGAGAGUCCAGAACCCCCUUCUUGGUCUACCUCCCACUGCCUGCUCCAGAGCUGGCUAAGACCCCUGGUCUGUUGUGCCAACUGGGCCUGGGACCAGAGGAAGCCAAGAGCUUCCCUUUCCUGUGUCUCCCUAUUUCUGACAUCCCCAGGACCCCAAGUCUUGUGACUGCCGGCCUGGCUCCAGCUCAGACUGCGGCUGUGGCUCCUGCUGCUGCUCCGGAUUUACCAAGGACCAACCUCCCUGGAGUGACAGAUAUCCCCAGGACCCUGAGUUAUGUGGCGGCUGGAGCUCAGGAGCUACCACGGCUCCAGAGCUAUGCGGCUAACACCGCUGAAGUCCAGGAGCCACCGAGGACCCCCAGCUAUCUGGCUAACACCCCUGGAGUUCAGGAAAUACCACACAACCCCAGCUAUCUGAAAAACCCAGCUGUCUUCCAAGAUAUGUGCUUUAUGUGCCCCUCCGUUACCGCCUCCAAUCUGUCCAGGAACAAUAGCUUUGUGCACUCUCCAGCUGCCAUGGCUCCACAGCAGCUGAUUAGGGGCCCGUGUAUGGUGUCUCUGUACCCCCAGGGAGGGCCUGUGAUGGGCCACUGUACUCACUCCCCAGGGCAGUGUCCUGCAUCUCUGCAGCAGCAGGCUGGCAUGGCUCCGCUCAACCACGGACAGCAGACCAACACCAACUUCAUGCCCAUUUGUUCUCAAAGGCCAAGCCUGUGUAGCUGCCUCAGCAGGACCGGCAGCCACUGGCGCUUCUGCCACCUGACGCGACCCGAGUCCCAGGGCAGGGUGGGCGGCAUGAUCUGCCCCUACCAGAACUCCCAGACCAUGAUGCACUGCAACAGCCUGGAUCACAUGGCCAACAUCCCCAUGUACCAGGACUGUGGCCACUACUCUAGCAGCUGCCACCUGCUGCCACCGUGCUCCCAGUCGUCCCACGGCAGCCUGCACACCCACCACAUGGAGGAGCCCCGUUGCUCUGCUUACAACCUGGGCACCUCCUUCGUCCAGCCCCAGCCCCAGACCUGCUCCUCCGACCCCCUCUUCCACUUCCCCCAGCAGUACCACCUGGUGGCCACCCCCUCCCAGGAGAGGCAGCAGGCCCUGUGCCCUCUCCAGUGCCCACUGCUGCAGCAGCGCCACAGCUCCCUGCUCUUUUGUGGGCACCAGGGGGAGCUGAGCAGGCUGGGCUGCUCCAGCUGUGUCCCUGCCACCAACCAGAGACAGAACCAGGGAGGGGUGGAGCAGAAGAACAACAUCCCCAGCUGCGCAUCGCUUCAUGACAAAAGAUUAGACACAAGCUCAAACAACAAUCACG